UACGUGGGGGGCUAGCGUUGUCCGGAUUUAUUGGGCGUAAAGAGCGUGUAGGCGGCCAGGUAGGUCUGCUGUGAAAACUCGAGGCUCAACCUCGAGAUGUCGGCGGAAACCAUCUGGCUAGAGUCCGGAAGAGGAAAGUGGAAUUCCUGGUGUAGCGGUGAAAUGCGCAGAUAUCAGGAAGAACACCGGUGGCGAAGGCGGAUCUCUGGGCCUUACCUGACACUCAUGGACGAAAGCUAGGGGAGCGAAUGGG
rnacentral:rRNA from 1 species